CCUACGGGUGGCAGCAGUGGGGAAUAUUGCACAAUGGGGGAAACCCUGAUCCAGCCACGCCGCGUGAGUGAAGACGUAUUUCGGUAUGUAAAGCUCUAUCAGCAGGGAAGAAGAGAGACGGUACCUGACUAAGUAGCACCGGCUAACUACGUGCCAGCAGCCGCGGUAAUACGUAGGGGGCAAGCGUUAACCGGAUUUCCUGGGUGUAAGGGGAGCGUAGACGGCUGUACAAGUCGUAGGUGAAAGCCCGUGGCUCAACCGCGGAACUGCUUUGGAAACUGUACAGUUUGAGUACUGGAGAGGCAGGCGGAAUUCCUAGUGUAGCGGUGAAAUGCGUAGAUAUUAGGAGGAACACCAGUGGCGAAGGCGGCCUGCUGGACAGAAACUGACGUUGAGGCUCGAAAGCGUGGGGAGCAAACAGGAUUAGAUACCCUAGUAGUC
rnacentral:rRNA from 1 species